rnacentral:tRNA from 1 species
GUCCUGGUAGCUCAGGUGGUAGAGCAACUGACUUUUAAUCAGUGGGUCGGGCGUUCGAUUCGCCUCCGGGACACCA